CUUGAUCAAUUAUAAGAGGUCAAGCCUGCCCAGUGACAUUGUUCAACGGCCGCGGUAUCCUAACCGUGCGAAGGUAGCGUAAUCACUUGUCCUUUAAAUAAGGACUAGUAUGAACGGCUUCACGAAGGCUAUACUGUCUCCUUAAUCUAAUCAAUUAAACUAAUCUCCCCGUGAAGAAGCGGGGAUUCGUCUAUAAGACGAGAAGACCCUAUGGAGCUUUAAACAUCUAAGACACUUGAUUAUAUCUACUAAACUUCAUGUAACCUAUCAUUUUGUCUUAAGUUUUAGGUUGGGGUGACCACGGAGAAAAAUUAAACCUCCACGUAGAAAGAAAAUUUUUUCUAAGCAAAAAGCCACAUCUUAACGCAUCAAUAUAUUGACUUAAAUUGACCCA
rnacentral:rRNA from 1 species